rnacentral:rRNA from 1 species
UACGACUACAUAUCAGGCAUAUCAAUAAGCGGAGGAAAAGAAACUAACAUAGGAUUCCCUUAGUAACGGCGAGUGAAGCGGGAAGAGCUCAAAUUUGAAAUCUUCAAGGUUCUACCUUGACGAAUUGUAGUUUAAAGAAGUGUUUUCUGUUGGAGUUUUGGUAAAAGUUCUUUGGAAUAGGACAUCAUAGAGGGUGAGAAUCCCGUAUUUGACCAUUUACUUCCAGCUGUGUGAUACACUUUCAAAGAGUCGGAUUGUUUGGGAAUGCAGUCCAAAAUGGGUGGUAAAUUUCAUCUAAAGCUAAAUAUUGGCGAGAGACCGAUAGCGAACAAGUACCGUGAGGGAAAGAUGAAAAGAACUUUGGAAAGAGAGUUAAACAGUACGUGAAAUUGUCAAAAGGGAAGCGUUUGACACCAGUGUUGUUUUCUCGAAAAUCAAUUAAAAAUGGCCGGAUUUUGUGUUGUAUUGACUUUAUCAGCUUUCUGCACUUUUUUCUUGUCUUUUUUAAUGCACUUUUCGUUUAACAAGUCAACAUCAAUUUCUUUUGUUGUAAAAGAGUCAUUGGAAGGUGGCUUUCAUUUCGGUGAAAGUGUUUAUAGCCUUUGACUUCUGCAAUCGGAGAGAUUGAGGUCUGCAGCGUAGAUCCUUCGGGGUUAGAUACAUUUGUGCUAAGUUAUAGUUUUUCAUAGACAACAUGUUGACUAUGAUUAAUCAUGUAGCUUACUCGCUUAUGCUAUUUUACCUACGCUUAGGAUGUUGAAUCUGUGCGAGACUAC